UUGUCGGCUGCUUGUUGCAAAAGUUUUUCAUGUACUGUACUGUACUUGUUUCCUUAUUGCCACGUGAAUUCCUCCUUUCAUACUGGAAAAGUUUCAUCGUUAUGAUGCCAAUUGAUAUUCAAUAAAUAUAUAAGUACUAUUGCAUCGUUGGAAUUUUGGGUUCGAUGCAAAUGGAAAUGAACGGAGCAAAUUUUAGUAUGGUUUCGGAUUAUCAUAGUUUAGAUGAAAAAAGUUCAGUAGCUCUAGAAGAUUUGGAAAUUGCUUUGUAUGGGAUGCUUCCCCAUGCAUCAAAUGAAGAAGAAUGUUGCCUUAGACCCCAGAAAUGAUAAAGUUCUAUGAUAGCGAUGGGUCUGAUAGAGAUUUGGAAGCAAUCUUAAAAUCUCUUCCGAAGAACAUCAAGUGGCAUUGGGAUAUCGAAGAUUGUCGUGGAAGCGAUUUACAGAGAAAUCGUUAUUUUGCAAUGAGUGCCAAAAAUGCAAUGCACUAACUGUAGCCAGUGGGAUCAUCUCACUAAGGACUGCAAAGAUCCUAAGAAAAUCAUUGGGGGUAUCUGCGGAUGGCUUGGACACAAGCAAUUUGCAUGUCCAAAUAAAGUGUGUUUGGGUUGUGGCCAGCCAAGCAAAAUUCUUGUUGAGUGCUGUCCUGAAAGUUGUCGAGAGCAACAUAUUAUUUGUAUGAUCUGUCGUUCUAAGCAUGUCACUCAGCGCUGUCCCGAUCGGUGGAGGCCGUCGUCAAUCUGCACGCGAACACGUCGUUAUCUGCAUUGGAUUCGUUUUCUUUUAUGCUUGACAGAUAGAUAAACGGACUGAUCAAAGGCCUUACUUUUUUUUUGCAGUGCAUGAAACGUUAAAUCGAAUUCUUUACUAAAAUCCGUAAUCGUCGAUUAUUGCUCCGGGAUUCUUCUUGACGUUCUUUCUUGGUAAAAUUGAACCAAAUAGAAGGACACAUGUUGCAAGUUUAUUAUUUCCUUCAUUGUAGUUGUUUCAGUCACUAGGAACGUUUUCAUUGAAAAUUUUUUAAUUUGUUUAAUUAGUAUACUCUUCGAUUCGAUGUAUUUC